UUCGGUCCCUUAUACGAGCUAUCAAACAAGACCCAAGUCACAAACUUAAGCUGAUUCUACUCUAAAACACUUUCAUAAACACAGUGUAUUUCCUAUUUUGCCCUCGUUUAAUUUCUAUUCCGUGUUUUUUCUUCCUUCCCUCUCUUCCUCUCGCUCUUCUCUGUGCGGCUUUCGGUGCCAAAGUCCGGCGAGCUUUUCCCGGCCGAACGCCGGUUAACCGGACCUUGCUGUUACCACCAAGCUUUUCCCCAUUAUCUCAGGAACUAAAACCACCCAUUUCAUGUCUCGAUUCGCUACGUUUGAGGUGAAUCGUAGAGCAGCCGCCAAAAGCCUGAGGGUUCAGUUCGAGAACCUCCGUAAGUGGGUUUAUUUUCUCAAAUAUUUGUUUUUUGGAUGUGUAAUUAGUUUGUAUUAUAUUAAUUUAAUUUAUAUUAAUGUGCUUUUUAAUC